CCCGCUGAACUUAAGCAUAUCAAUAAGCGGAGGAAAAGAAACUAACAAGGAUUCCCCUAGUAACUGCGAGUGAAGCGGGAAAAGCUCAAAUUUAAAAUCUGAGGGUCCCUGUGGCCAUCCGAGUUGUAAUCUAGAGAAGUGCUAUCCGCGCUGGACCGUGUACAAGUCUCCUGGAACGGAGCGUCACAGAGGGUGAGAAUCCCGUCUUUGACACGGACUACCAGGGCUUAUGUGAUGUGCUCUCAAAGAGUCGAGUUGUUUGGGAAUGCAGCUCUAAAUGGGUGGUAAAUUCCAUCUAAAGCUAAAUAUUGGCGAGAGACCGAUAGCGAACAAGUACCGUGAGGGAAAGAUGAAAAGAACUUUGGAAAGAGAGUUAAACAGUACGUGAAAUUGUUGAAAGGGAAACGCUUGAAGUCAGUCGCGUUGUCCAGAAAUCAACCUUGCUUCUGCUUGGUGUACUUUCUGGUUAAUGGGUCAGCAUCAAUUUUGACCGGUGGAUAAAGGUCAGGGGAAUGUGGCAUCUUCGGAUGUGUUAUAGCCCUUGGUCGCAUACAACGGUUGGGAUUGAGGAACUCAGCACGCCGCAAGGCCGGGUAUUCGUACCACGUUCGUGCUUAGGAUGCUGGCAUAAUGGCUUUAAUCGACCCGUCUUGAAACACGG
rnacentral:rRNA from 1 species